GAACUCUCGCUCUGAUGAGAAGCUGCUGUCAGUGUUCCGUGAGGGUGUCAAGUAUGGUGCUGGUAUCGGCCCGGGUGUUUACGACAUCCAUUCCCCCAGGAUCCCGUCGACCGAGGAGAUUGCUGACAGGAUCAACAAGAUGCUUGCUGUGCUCGAGACCAACAUCCUCUGGGUUAACCCUGACUGCGGUUUGAAGACCCGCAAGUAUGCUGAGGUUAAACCUGCGCUGACCAACAUGGUUGAGGCUGCGAAGAAGCUCCGCACCGAGCUGGCGAGUGCCAAGUGAGUUGCACCACCGCGCCACCUGUUUACUAUGGUUUUAGAUUGAAAAGCAAAGGAUUUUCCUCUCUUAAAUAAGAUAGGGUUGUGUUGUCUGGAGUUGAUUUUGGGAGGUGGUAUAGUGUCGUAGAGUUACCUAUUUUACCUAUUUUGUUAUUGCCCGUUGGUCUUAUGCAGUUAUCUGCCGUUGUGUGCACUUUUAACUUCGGUUGUAUGUUGAGACAUGGAAGUCUAAUGGAAUGCGG
rnacentral:misc_RNA from 1 species